rnacentral:lncRNA from 1 species
UAAACAAUUUAAUUCGGUAUUAUAGUGAAUUAAACUCAUGACCCCUCUUUUUUUUUUUAAUAUUAUUUUCAUGGUUUUGGAGGAAUUUUAACAUACACAGCUACACACCAAAUGCAAAAACUUCACUCAAAUGCAAAUGCAUAAAUAAACCAUAAUUAUUAUUUUGUGUAUUUAAUUUGAUGAUCUAGCAAAGACAAUGUCUAUUAACACUAACUCGUCACAGAUUUAAAUACUUACAUAUGUGAAAGAAAGAAAAAGAAAAAGAAAAAGUAGGAUUAAUAUGAGAGAUAUGGUGGCAGGGAUGGGGCCAAUGGUAACAGAGGCAAGAACAUGCGAAUCUCCAAGCCAUCGCUUCAAGGGGCUGUGCUUCAGUAAGAACAACUGUGGCCAUGUCUGCAAAACGGAGGGCUUUCACGGCGGCCAUUGCCGGGGCUUCCGUCGCCGCUGCUUCUGCACAAAGCACUGUGUUUGAGUUGAAUGUGAAUGAUCUCAAAUCAGUUGUGUCUAUCAGUAAAAGUAGACACUCAAUAUGGGAGCUUUUUGGGCGUGCGUUUAAACCAAUAAGUCUGUCAUUGUUUCCUUUUUUAAAAGUUUUGCCUUUUGUUUGUUGUGCAAGCUUUUCUUCCCAUUUGCUUUGUUUUGGUUUGAAUUAAUGUGAUGUUUAGUUCAUAUUAUAUAUUUGUGUAUUUAUUUGCUGUUUUCUUUCUUUUGAGAUGGUUUUUUUUUUCCCGUAAAGAGGCUCACUCAAGUUAUUCAACUAAGGCUGUAAAGUCAAAUUGCCAUUUAUAUGGUUCAAAAUGCUAGCAAAAAGAGUACUCAUGUCGUCUUAAAUUAUUAAAUAAACAAACUGUUAAGUUUCGCCAUUUGUUCUAAAAUAUCUAUGUAUUUUUAAAAGUUACAGUAUCACUUCAAAGUUCUCAACUUUUCAUAGAAAUUUUAGAAUUAUCUUAGAAAUCUAAGGAUAAAAAUUGAAAUCAUCUCAAAUUUGGAUGAAAAACUAAAGAAUUCCUACUUAUGUGCGGUUUUGCAAAGAUGAUGAAUGAUGAAAAUUUGUGGCAGUAAAAUUUUAGGAUAAAAGUUAUUAUUUUGUAUCAAAAGUAUCCAUAAUAUUUUACGAUUUUAAUCCUAAAAUAUUUUUAAUAUGGAUUUUCUAUACACCACAAAUUAUCCAUUUGCUCUUUUCAAUCAUCCAAAAAUCCAAUCAUUUUGUUCACAUUUUAUUUCUAACUCUAAUGCAAUCGGUCAAAUUUAAAAAAAAAAAAAGAAUGAUAAUUAACUAAUCACUUGAAUAGAGAAAUUGUCACAUAUUCACAUAUUUUGAAUUUAUAAUUCUAAAAAAUAAUUUGUGAGGUCCAAAUAUACAACGAUGAAAAUCAAAGUAAAAUUAAACUCAAAACUAGGAGAACAAAUCGAAAACUUAUAGAGAAAAAGAAAAACUACUUACAAAUUAAAUAAGUAAAUCUCUUGGGCAUCAAGAAAUUUUUUUUACUCCAAGGCUUUAUCCCAAACCAAUGAAAAACAGUUUAAACAAAGCCUGAUUUUCCAGCAUAAUGAUCUUGCAACCAUUUUGCUUGCACUUGCAACCCAGCAUCCAUCAGAGCAUUCAAUGCUGUCCUAUAAAGCCUCUCAUCCAGCCUUGUUCCUUCUAACUUCAUGUCUCUGAGAAGCUUCACCAGCUCAUCAACCCGACUCGUCUUUGAGAACACCCCAACCAUGAUCCCCCCAAAUGCCUUGUCAAUGGUGCCCCCGUUCAUCCGAAACUCCCGGUAAUAUUGCUCGCACUUUUCGAAUUCUGAUGCCUUGACAUAGGCACUUAUGAUACUUGUAUAGCUAACCUUAUCAGGUGCUAUCUUUUUGCGCUUCAUUUCCUUCCAUAACUUCUCAACUUGCUUCAAAUUCUUAGCCUUCCCAUGCAUCUCCAUCAAUAUGUUGUAUAUCCAAACAUUUGGCUGACACCCUUUUUCUUUCAUCUUUGCUAAUAGCCUCAUUGCAUCCUUUAAUCUCCCUGUUUUUCCAUACAUUGAUAUCAAGCUAGAGUAAGCUACCACACAUUUAUCAAACCCUUUCUCCUCCAUUUCUCCAAAAAUGUCCUCUGCUUUCGAGUAGAGUCCGACACGGCAGUAGGCAUUGAUUGCUGAGGCGUACGUCACUUGUCCUGGCUCACAUCCGUCUUCGAUCAACUUCUCGUAAACUUUAACUGCAGCUUCAUAGCCCCUUCUCGUGGCAUAACCAUUGACAAUUGCACAGAAAAUACAGUCAGAGACUCCAAUUUUAAAGUCUUUCAUUACUUCAACAAUCUCAAGUGCCUUUUCUAAUGAUCCUUGUUGAACGUACAUCAAUAUGAGCUUUAGAAACAUCGCAGGGUCCCUCAACAACUUCUUGGCUUUUGCUUCAUUGUAAAGAUCUUCCGCUAAUUUAACUUCCUGGAUGCUAGCAAAAGUACAUAUCAAAGCAGAGUAAAUAGUGUAGUCUUCUGCGAUCCCUUUCUUCCUCAUAUCUCUAAAAAACUCAAGCGACUCGAAAACCCUCCCCGACUUUGCUAAGGACUCGCAAAGUAUCCCGUAAAUCUUGGUCGAAAAUGGCGUAGAAACCGAAAUCCUACUCUCCACUUCAUUAAACAGUUCCAUAACUCUCUCAGAAUCCCCAAGUUUAAGAUAGGCUUCCAUGACCCUACAAUAACAUCCAGAAUCUGCUUCGAUUCUUGCAGAUUUCAAGCGCUGGAAAACCAUGAUAGUGCUUUUGUGCAUGUGAAGCUUAUUGUAGCCUCUCAUGGCAGCUUCAAAAGCAGUCAUAGCAACACCACUAUCCCUUUCAAAAACCUCAAGCAAAGACUUGACAACUUUAAAUUUUCUACCUCUAACACAACUACUAACCAAUUUAGAACAAGUAUCUCUAUCAGGGCAAACACCAAAAUCCACAAAGUCCCUAGAAACUAAAAGAAUCAAAUCCCAUUUCUUCAAUCGAACUAAGUACCUGAUCAGAUGCCGCAAUGUCGAUUUCUGAGGUCGAAACCCAGCCGUCUCCUUCGCUUUCACAUAAUAGUCAUAGAUCAAAUCCUCGGUUCCGGGGUUUUGCGACAACCCACAUAAGAAAUCGUUCAAAUCUUGAACGUUGGGCAAGGAGGGAAGUUGAAAAUCGUGAAGAUUGGAGUUUGAAUGGAUGUCGGGUAAUGCGAUGGAGGGUUGUUCUAAGAUUGGGGAAGGGCAACCGGAGGAAUUUAGAUGAAGGGAUGGAAGAUUUGAAGUGGGAAGAGAGAAAAGGAGAGAGAAGUUAGAGGUGGAGAUGAAAUGGGAUUUUCUGAAAGAGUUUGAUGGAGGGAAUGAGCAGUCGGGAGAGGGAGAGAGGGCCAUGGGAGAUAAGGUCGGAAGAAGAUCGGAGUGCCACUCAUAAUAUAUAGCUUAUCGGUAAGGAAGUUUGGGUUCGAGAUCUUGUAAGCCACUGAAUUGGUGCCAAGUGGGGAGCUUUUGGACAGAAGGGUGAAGGGAUUUUCCAUGUAAGCAUUUGUGUUUCCUCCAUCUCCAUGAAAACUGACAAGCUUUUGUGUGGUAUAUAAUACAAUUAUAUAUAGUGAGUGGACAGUGGUUUCGCUUCUCCAACUUUAUAUUCAUCUGCUGACUGCUUCUACAUCUUUAUUCUUUACUUUCUUUUGCUUUAUUUCAAAAUUUCUUAAGGCUUCUAAUUAUAUAUCACACACAUACAUAUUCAUUUGUAUUAUCUAAUUAAAACAAUAAUGGGUCAAAAAGUUUUUUAACAAAUGAAAUUGCCCUCCUUCAAAUUUUCUUAAUUCCAAAACUCAAACCCAAGAGGGUUGUGAGAGUGGAAGCACAACCAUAGCAUCCUAUUUUGUUCAAAAUAAAAUAUUAUUUAAUAUGUAUUGUAAUUUUACACUUUAAAAUUAAUACAAAAUUUGAUAAUGUGAGAGAAAGACACGUUCCUCCACACCCUACCUAAGUAUGUCUGUGCUUAAUAGAACAACUUAUUUACUGACACUAAAACGGUUAAAAGUGAAUUUCCUCUUGCACUCUAUGUCCCCAUCUAUCCACCCGAUCUUACCCUUGAAAGGGGGGCUUAUUUGACUAGUGUUGAAAAGUUUCUCUCCCCUACACAAAUCUAAGGAUAAUUUCGUGUGAAAUUAUCAUUAAGUUACCUAUGUCAUCAAUAAAAAAAAAUAGUCAAUUUUAUACUAUAAAUAAUGUUAGAACGUAAAAGUGACUAUUUCAUGGUUUCAGUGUUAUGUAAACUCUUAAAUGUCCCAACUUCCAUGUCUCUACAUGAGCGAUUUAGGAUCAUAACAUUUGUGUUAAGUACAAAACGAGAUGCAUCCAUAGUGUCUCUUAAAUAAGGUGUCCAACCUAAUUCAUAUGUCAUAGACCAUUCAAGCUAUAUAUUCAAACUUGAUACAUGUUUAUGUCUAUACAUAAAAUUUAAGUCUACACCAAAUAACUUCAAGACCUUAGUUUAUUGGAUUCAAAAUUAUAGUAGGCAUUUUCAGUAACCACUUUAUUGAAUAGAAUAUGAUUUAAAAUUACAAACUACGAACGAUUUUUAAGUAUGUAUCAAUGUAGGUUUCCAUUAGUGUCUAUUAAUAUAAACUUCCAUUCGUGUGAAUCAAGUAAUGAUAUAAAAUUUUGCUAUAUUUUGGUUUAUUUUGCUAUAUUUGAAAAUAACUAAAUCUUGUAGCUUAGACCAAUCCGCGGGUCAAGUUUUAAAAUGAAAUUAUUUAUAUUUUUAUAAAACUUUUAAGAGCAUUUUCAAAUAUAGAAAAAAAAAAUCAAACUAUUUACAAAUAUAACAAAGUCUAUUUAAGUUUUAUUUGUUAUAUGUGAAAAUAAUUUUAAUUUAUUUUACCAUUAAUAACGAUCUUUUUACAAAACAAAAAAAAAAAAAAAAAAGAGAU